rnacentral:rRNA from 1 species
UACAGAGGGUGCAAGCGUUAAUCGGAAUUACUGGGCGUAAAGCGUGCGUAGACGGUUGCGUAAGUCAGAUGUGAAAGCCCCCGGGCUCAACCUGGGAAUUGCAUUUGAGACUGCGUAGCUAGGGUGCGGAAGAGGGAAGCGGAAUUUCCGGUGUAGCGGUGAAAUGCGUAGAUAUCGGAAGGAACACCAGUGGCGAAGGCAGCUCGCUGGGACGGUACUGACGCUGAGACGCGAAAAGCGUGGGGAGCGAACAGG